UCCCCCAAGGGGCCCUCCUAGCAAAUUAAUGCCCAGGUGCUUCUUAUAGUCCCCAACACCCAACUGUCCACACUUAUUGGAGCCAAAGGAACCAAUACUCCCCCUGUUCAAAGUAUAUGCAGUGGAAUUAAGGCCAUCCUGAUCAUAGAAUGGGACACACGGGUUUAGCAAAGAAGGAAGAAUUGCCAUAAAUUGAACAAAUGUCUUUCCAUUUGAGGCAGAGAGAUGUAAAGAGGUGAAUCUAGUAUGGGGCCUGGAACAUGAAAACAAAAACAAAAAAACCAAUACUGGAGGUCAUGUCACACAACAAUGCCAGAACCACAAUACAAAUGGUGCUGUAAGGAUGGUAAGAUCAUCUGAAGGAAGCCAAGGGAAUGAAAGGCCCAACCAGCCAAGUCAUCUUGCUACAUGAGGCAAAGCAGCAAAUGGAUCACCCAUCUUCCUGCCCAAGUCAAAAAAUUUCCCUUCCACCUUGACUCAGUAAACCAAAGAAGACCUCUAUAGGAAAAAAAACAGACUAUGGUGCAUUUGCUCAAUGUAUAACUACUCUGCAGAGAAAAUCCAGCCCCAUCCUGAUUGAGACAACUCUGUAGAUAAGCCUCAGCCUCAACAUGGCUCAUAAUGCUUGAUGACUUCAGAAACAGAGACUCCUGUUCAAAAUCUCAAACCUGAAAAUAAAAAGAGGGCAUCUGUAAACUAAACUUGGACUUCUGUGUGUGAAAUAAACUUAAAUUAAAUUUUGUUCAUUUCUUUUUUAAUAUCAUCUUCUGAUAAUUUUUUUAAAAUGCAUUCUUUCCUAUUUAAGAUAGAAGUCCUUCAAGGUCAAACUUGAUUCUUGGCCACUUCAUAAUUUUCAUACUGAAAGGUAUCUGGACCUACAAGAUGAAGGAGAAAUAUCUUAAUGGGGUGGGUUGCUAUAAACCAGUAUGUGUUUAUAUUCCUUUGUGGUGAGAAGGUAAUUUUUUUUUUUUCAUUUUUGGGAAAAAUUACAUAGUUUUGCUUUCUUCAUGGUAAAAAAAGUAUGACAGAAUGUGAGGUAAGAGAAAAAGGAAGAUAAGCAUUAUUUGGCUUCUGUCCUUAUGUGACUAUUAAAUGUAUUAAGAAAAGGG